CCAAUAGCGUAUAUUAAAGUUGUUGCAGUUAAAAAGCUCGUAGUUGACUUUCGGGGUUCUACCGUUGGUCGGGCUGUUGUCUGUACUGGUGUGUAGAAUUUCUACCUUCUGGGGAACUAUCAUGUUAUUAAUUUAACGUGGUAGGAAACCAGGACCUUUACCUUGAAAAAAUUAGAGUGUUCAAAGCAGGCUUAUGUCUGCAUACAUUAGCAUGGAAUAAUAAAAUAGGACGGUGGUCCUGUUUUGUUGGUUUCUGAAUCACCGUAAUGAUUAAUAGGGAUAGUUGGGGGCAUUAGUAUUCAAUUGUCAGAGGUGAAAUUCUUGGAUUUAUUGAAGACUAACUACUGCGAAAGCAUUUGCCAAGGAUGUUUUCAUUAAUCAAGAACGAAAGUUAGGGGAUCGAAGACGAUCAGAUACCGUCGUAGUCUUAACCAUAAACUAUGCCGACUAGGGAUCGGACGAUGUUAACUUUUCUUGACUCGUUCGGCGCCUUACG
rnacentral:rRNA from 1 species